AAAUUUGCUAAACACAUGCUUUAUUGAAUUCUACGUUCUAGAGUACUAUUCUAUUUCAUUCAAUUUUGUGCUUUUGGAAAUCAAAUUGGAUAUUUUAUUUACUUAUUCCAUCAAAUAAAAUGCCACGACCAAGGCGUACUAAUAUUAGUCGCCGUACACGUAAUGCGUUUACUUUAAGGUCGAAUAGAACAUUGCAAAGUGAGGAAGAGCGUGCACAGAUUAAUGCAGAUAGAAGAGAUCGAUAUGCACGAAAUCGAAACUCACCUAAUCGUUCUCUUGAUAGGCAGCUAUGAUGGAUUACAAUAUCCAUUAUUGUACUGGAAAGGUGAUGACGCCUAUAAUAUCCUUAUACCAAUGAUAGAUCCACAAACCGGUCGUGACAUUAAAAAAAAGUUAGUGCGAACUAUUAUUCGUACAGAUUCAUGAUUCGCCCACAAGAAGACAAUUUCAUUUUGAGAUGUUGCAAACUUUUCAAUCAAUACGCUGUUGACAUGUACGCAAAAAUAGAAACAGAACGUCUGAAUUACCUUCGAUUCAAUCAAACAAAAUUACGAUCGGAAGAAUAUAUACAUUUGCGAGAUGCAAUAGUGAAUGAUGGUAAUGCAAGUGAUA
rnacentral:sRNA from 1 species